GAAGAGAGAGUAUUGAGAUAAUGAUUUUCUGCCUUAUUCAUUCACUUUUCCUGCUCUUAUAGACAGGAUAGCAAUACAAUUGUUCCUAAUAGUUAGGAUCUAGAGACACUUGUCCUCAUCACAAUACAAGAAAAUAAAAAGAUAAAUUCUAAAUACUUUUAUUCUUAUCCCUUUUAAGGUUCUAAGACAGGAUAGCAAUACAAUUGUUCCUAAUAGUUAGGAUCUAGAGACACUUGUCCUCAUCACAAUACAAGAAAAUAAAAAGAUAAAUUCUAAAUACUUUUAUUCUUAUCCCUUUUAAGGUUCUAACGGUAGAGAGUGACAACUUGUGACAGCUAUUGAAAUUUGUCCUCUUCUUAGGAUGCUUCUAGAGACUAUUCCUAGUCCAUGAGUCUGUUGGGCAAUUUAAUUUCUCUCUUUGGUCUUCCUUCUGGCCCACCAUUUGCAUUCUUGUUCACUAUUAUUUGGAUGUUUUCUUCCUUUGACUUGGUCUUCUUUGUUUUUGUGAUAUUG
rnacentral:lncRNA from 1 species